rnacentral:rRNA from 1 species
UACGUAGGGGGCGAGCGUUGUCCGGAUUUACUGGGCGUAAAGGGCGUGCAGGCGGUCUGCUAAGUCUAGGGUGAAAGCUCCCGGCUCAACUGGGAGAGGUCCUUGGAUACUGACAGACUUGAGGGAGGCAGAGGAGAAUGGAAUUCCCGGUGUAGUGGUGAUAUGCGUAGAUAUCGGGAGGAACACCAGUGGCGAAGGCGGUUCUCUGGGCCUUACCUGACGCUGAGACGCGAAAGCGUGGGGAGCGAACCGG